AGUCGCCUCUUUGCCUUGACUCACUGUUUCUUUAUUCUUCCCAGUGUCUUUUUCUACUGAAACGCACAAUUUAAAGUGUUUUAAUACUUAUUCAACUUAUUUCUAAUAAGUAAUUCAACAUUUAAAUUUUGUAAAUUUAAUCUACCCCAAUAAGAUUUAUAAUUUGAAUCUUUUGCAUUAGGUGCAUUUGUGGUUACUAUUCAUUUGACCAAUCGGCUAAAAUAUUGACUUUUUCAUACUUACUACGUACGUUAAUUCUAAGUAUCCUCACAUACCAC
rnacentral:misc_RNA from 1 species